rnacentral:tRNA from 1 species
UUAGUACUAGUAGCUCAGCCACGUUCAGAGCUCCGGCCUUGUAAUCCGGCGGUCGAAGGUUAAAACCCUUCCUAUUACC